rnacentral:rRNA from 1 species
GAUACCCUGGUAGUCCACGCCGUAAACGAUGAGUGCUAAGUGUUAGAGGGUUUCCGCCCUUUAGUGCUGAAGUUAACGCAUUAAGCACUCCGCCUGGGGAGUACGGCCGCAAGGCUGAAACUCAAAGGAAUUGACGGGGGCCCGCACAAGCGGUGGAGCAUGUGGUUUAAUUCGAAGCAACGCGAAGAACCUUACCAGGUCUUGACAUCCUCUGAAAACCCUAGAGAUAGGGCUUCUCCUUCGGGAGCAGAGUGACAGGUGGUGCAUGGUUGUCGUCAGCUCGUGUUGUGAGAUGUUGGGUUAAGUCCCGCAACGAGCGCAACCCUUGAUCUUAGUUGCCAUCAUUAAGUUGGGCACUCUAAGGUGACUGCCGGUGACAAACCGGAGGAAGGUGGGGAUGACGUCAAAUCAUCAUGCCCCUUAUGACCUGGGCUACACACGUGCUACAAUGGACGGUACAAAGAGCUGCAAGACCGCGAGGUGGAGCUAAUCUCAUAAAACCGUUCUCAGUUCGGAUUGUAGGCUGCAACUCGCCUACAUGAAGCUGGAAUCGCUAGUAAUCGCGGAUCAGCCAUGCCGCGGUGAAUACGUUCCCGGGCCUUGUACA